rnacentral:tRNA from 2 species
GCAGUCGUGGCUGAGUGGUUAAGGCGAUUGACUAGAAAUCCAUUGCGAUCUCCCCGCACAGGUUCGAAUCCUGUCGACUGCA